GACGAACGCUGGCGGCGUGCUUAACACAUGCAAGUCGAACGGAAAGGCCCUGCUUUUGUGGGGUGCUCGAGUGGCGAACGGGUGAGUAACACGUGAUUAACCUGCCCUUGACUUUGGGAUAACUUCAGGAAACUGGGGCUAAUACCGGAUAGGAGCUCCUGCUGCAUGGUGGGGGUUGGAAAGUUUCGGCGGUUGGGGAUGGACUCGCGGCUUAUCAGCUUGUUGGUGGGGUAGUGGCUUACCAAGGCUUUGACGGGUAGCCGGCCUGAGAGGGUGACCGGCCACAUUGGGACUGAGAUACGGCCCAGACUCCUACGGGGGGCAGCAGUGGGGAAUAUUGCACAAUGGGCGGAAGCCUGAUGCAGCAACGCCGCGUGCGGGAUGACGGCCUUCGGGUUGUAAACCGCUUUCGCCUGUGACGAAGCGUGAGUGACGGUAAUGGGUAAAGAAGCACCGGCUAACUACGUG
rnacentral:rRNA from 1 species